AUAAUAUUCGAUUUAUCCGCUAGAGGAUUAAAUCUUUUAUUCAAAUCUUACAACUUAACAUUCUUUAUUAUAACACCCCAGUAGGGCCUCAAAAAGAGUUGUCAGGGGAGACAACUUACAAUAUGUCAUAUAUAAGGCAGAGCAAAUUCUGGGAACGGUCUUUCGAUCGUGGCUCACAAUAGAAGAGAUGCACGUCAUGGCUGGAACAGAAAGAUAUAGAAAAAGGAGAAUGCUUAUAAUUCUCAGCGACCGUUAUCGGAGCUGAUCAAUUUGUAAAAUAGACAUGUAAAGUGAUUUAAUCAUCUGUACCUGUGUACCUUGAGUUGAAGCAUGUGCUACCACGUUUUUGCAACCGUUGCCGGGGCAAAAACAGUUAUAGUAAAGACAUUUAGUAGUCUUAAAUCGAAACACAUAGACAUUUCAAUAGGUUAAAUAAUUAAAAUGCUUUUAUCCAGCCAUGGCCAUUUUCAUGCCAACACGUUUUUGUUAAUAAAUACCAGUACGUUUUUUA